UCUUUCUCUCCAUCGGCGCCAUGCAGCAGCUCCCUCACCAUCACAGACUCCAUCAGCGUCUCCAUCCCAACGCCACUCCCUCACGUAGCUCAACAUGACUUCAGCUCCUCGUUUCCGUCAGCAAGGGUCAUGCAUUUCUCUACCAAAUUCAUAUCGUUUGCACUCUCAUGUAGCCCACUCUUUCAAAGAUGAUCUCGCCUAUCAUCUCAAUCCCACUGAACCCAUUUGUUCUUCGCUGUUUCCACUUCUCGGCACCACCAGCAACAACGCAUCAAGAGUAUCACAGCACCAGCAUACUCGGUUCACUAGUUUGUCGCUAUCUCCCAAGUAAUCUCCAUAACCCUCGAGAAUUUAAUCUCUUUCUACUAAUCUCUCAUUGUUUCAAAGCUUGAAAAGCAUAGAAUAGCAGAACAACAAAACUCUUGGCAAUGGCUGGCUUCUCAGAUCAGGUUUACCUCUAGUUAAUAGGGUUCUGAGAUCUGAUCCCCUCUCUGCUCCUCAAUCGGCCAUUCAACGAUCCGUUAUUUGCCCUGCUUUCACAUCUAAGGUGGAGGGAGGUAGGCAACUGGAAGCAUUCUCGAUACAACUUGUUAUUCUUGCAAUUUGGAAGCAAGCACUUCGAAUUUGCCACGCUCAAGUUGCCUCAGCUAUUGAAGGAAGUUCAAGCCAAGAGAGCACAAGGUUAAGGAGAAGCAGCAGCAAGAAACAUGGGACUCCUAACACAGAAGACAAUUCUGAUGUUAGGCCAGAGAAAAUCUCCACUCAGAAUGAGAGGGAGUUUUUAAGGGAAGUUGAACAUGCUGAGGAACUCACCAAGGCUAUUGAACCUGCUUGACAUAUAAAGCCGGAAGACACCCAAACACUUCCUAUGUGAGCUAUUUCAGAGUAAGUUCUUGAAUGUUGAAGUCUCAAUGAAGAAUACUUGCAUACUCUGUGAGUACAAGGGAAGCAUUACCGGUCAGUUUUCUACCUCGGCUCAUCGCAAUGAUCAUUUUCUAUUGCAUCCCAUUGCGCUUAGUCGGAGGUAAUAGAGGAAGAGAUUCAACAAUUACACCAGAUUAUUGCGACGCUAAAGGAAAGUUUAGCUGCAAUGGAGGAAAGAGAUCAACAAUGUUUGCAGAUGUUGGAGGAGUGUAUGCCACAAAUGAUGUAGAACAUGAUGGCACAAAUGAAGCAGGGUACACAAUACACAUCUAGAGCUUUUAAUGCUACUCAUUAGGAUGAUGCUAGAGAUAUCGAUG